GGGAAUUUUGGGCAAUGGGCGAAAGCCUGACCCAGCAACGCCGCGUGAGGGAUGAAGUAUUUCGGUAUGUAAACCUCGAAAGAAUGGGAAGAAUAAAUGACGGUACCAUUUAUAAGCUCCGGCUAACUACGUGCCAGCAGCCGCGGUAAUACGUAGGGAGCAAGCGUUGUUCGGAUUUACUGGGCGUAAAGGGCGCGUAGGCGGCGCGGUAAGUCACUUGUGAAAUCUCUGAGCUUAACUCAGAACGGCCAAGUGAUACUGCUGUGCUAGAGUGCGGAAGAGGCAACCGGAAUUCUUGGUGUAGCGGUGAAAUGCGUAGAUAUCAAGAGGAACACCUGAGGCGAAGGCGGGUUGCUGGGCCGACACUGACGCUGAUGCGCGAAGCCAGGGGAGCAAACG
rnacentral:rRNA from 1 species